UACAGAGGGUGCGAGCGUUAAUCGGAAUUACUGGGCGUAAAGCGUGCGUAGGCGGUCGUGUAAGUCGGGUGUGAAAGCCCCGGGCUCAACCUUGGAAUUGCAUUCGAGACUGCCCGGCUUGAGUGCGGGAGAGGGAAGUGGAAUUUCCGGUGUAGAGGUGAAAUGCGUAAAUAUCGGGAAGAACAUCAGUGGCGAAAGCGGCUCACUGGUCCGGAACUGACGCUCAGGUGCGAAAGCGUGGGGAGCAAACAGU
rnacentral:rRNA from 1 species